rnacentral:rRNA from 1 species
CAGCAGCCGCGGGAACACCAGCACCUCGAGUGGUCAGGAGGUUUAUUGGGCCUAAAGCAUCCGUAGCCGGUUGCAUAAGUUUUCGGUUAAAUCUAUGCGCUUAACGUAUAGGCCGCCGAAAAUACUGUGCAGCUAGGGAGUGGGAGAGGUACACGGUACUCGAUAGGAAGGGGUAAAAUCCUUUGAUCUAUUGAUGACCACCUGUGGCGAAGGCGGUGUACCAGAACACGUUCGACGGUGAGGGAUGAAAGCUGGGGGAGCAAACCGGAUUAGAUACCCGUGUAGUCCCUGUCUCUUAUAC